rnacentral:lncRNA from 1 species
AGACAAAAUCAGACAGCCAGGCAGCAAACAUUUCCUACAGGGAGCUGCCUUGGCUGGGCCCUGGACUUCCCCAGCUCUGCCGGCCCGAGACCCUGAUGUCUUGGGACAGACCUCAGCUUCCGAAGCUCUCUAGAUCCGCCUCGAUGGCCCCAGCUACUGAGUCCCAGGCCUGUGUGUGCUCCUGUCUCCGCUCACAGCUCACUGUGUCCGGCCUGCCCAGCACCAGGGCUGCCUGAGGGAAGAAGAGACCAAGGCUGGCAGGGGGACCUCCCCGGGGAUCCAGAGCUGACUUCAUUGGCUCCCUCGCCCACCCGCAUGGCGCCCUUUGUCACCGGGAAGCCGAGUCUUGAUGUACAAGGAACAGGUCCCUCACCUCUUGGUCCUUCAUUCUUUGUGCCCUGAUGAAAUUCAGUCAAGACACACAGGCCGCUGUGCAGAAGUACAGGUCAAAUUUAUUGUAAAGAAGAUACAGAGUCGAAGGCCGGCAGUUCGGGGUCUUGCUAUGCAUUCCAGGCUGGCCUUGAAUUCAUGGCAUUCCUCCUGCCUCAGCCUCCCCAGCGCUGGGAAUACAGCUUGGCUGCUAUAGCCCAGCCCUGGACCUCUUCUGAUUCUGGGUGCUGCCUGAUACCUGAAUCAUUCUGCCCUCAAAUUAACUCUGUUGAGUUUAUUUUGUCUAAAGUAUGUUGCUGUUGUUGUUAAUACCUUAUCUGUAAACUGGAAACAACUACACGAACUUCACCCAGUCCACAAGAAUUAAAUGAAAAAUCACAACUGAAUCACUUAGCAAAGUACCCAGCAGAGAGUUAAUGCUCACAAAUACUGUUAGUACAAAUCUUUGUUCUGUAUAACGGCCCAGCAUGCCAUACCGGGCUUUGUUCUGUAUAACUGCCCAGGAUGCCAUACCGGGCUCAACAGUUUGGGGGGUGCUUAUUCCACAGUCCUCUCUGCUGGAUCCAAGUUCUAAGGUUCUCUGGUUGCCCUCUCCUGCCCCAGGUUCUCACCACCCAAGCUCCCUUGGGCCCAAGUUGAACCAACUUCCUGCUCCUUGCAGCCCAAGUCCCCUUACCCACUGACACCCCCGCCCCCAGCCCCGGCACCAGGCAGGGAAGGAAGGACCCAGCUCCUGUGCAGUCGCCCCGCUUGCUUGCUGUGGCCUUGAGCAGUGCUCUGGAAGUCUCUUCUUCACCUCCUCAUGGAGAGCGGGGCAGGUUGCACAUACGCGCACUCCCAACACUCCGGGAGGCUGAGGCCGGAGGAUCGAAGCCAAGUCCCCUUCUUGUGAAUCUGCCCCAUCCCAGGAGUAGAAAUGAGUCUCUCCAGCAGCAGCUGUUCCAUACCUGAGCAUCAUUCCCUUCCCUUCGAGGAUCCCCCAGGAUGGUGCCUGUGGGGGUCUCCUCCGCCCCUUCCCUCAUGCUGACCUGAGGCCAUUCCCCCAGCACCACCUUCUCUCUGGCUUCUCUCUACACAG